CCUGCCAGWGUCAUAUGCUUGUCUCAAAGACUAAGCCAUGCAUGUCUAAGUAUAAACAAUUAUACAGUGAAACUGCGAACGGCUCAUUAAAUCAGUUAUCGUUUAUUUGAUAGUUUUCUACAUGGAUAACCGUGAUAACUUCAGAACUAAUUACAUGACAGCCUUCUGGCGUAUAUAUUAGAUACAAACCAAACAGUAUGGUGAUUCAUAAUAUCUUGUCGAACCGAUCUUCGGUGUAUCAUUCAAAUUUCUGCCCUAUCAACUGUCGAUGGUAGGAUCGUGGCCUACCAUGGUAACAACGGGUAACGGGGAAUCAGGGUUCUAUUCCGGAGAGGGAGCCUGAGAAACGGCUACCACAUCCAAGGAAGGCAGCAGGCGCGCAAAUUACCCAAUCCUGACACAGGGAGGUAGUGACAAUAUAUAACGAUCCGGGGCUCUUUGAGUUUCGGAAUUGGAAUGAGUACAAUUUAAACACCUUAACGAGGAACAAUUGGAGGGCAAGUCUGGUGCCAGCAGCCGCGGUAAUUCCAGCUCCAAUAGCGUAUAUUAAUGUUGUUGCAGUUAAAAAGCUCGUAGUUGAAAUUGGGCGGGCUAUUAGUUUAGGCCGCUUCAGGAAGAACUUCUUCCAGUUACUUUGAAAAAAUUAGAGUGUUCAACGCAGGUUUCGCCUGAAUAUAUUAGCAUGGAAUAACAUAACACGACGAGGGUCCAUUUUGUUGGCUUGCAAACCCACGUAAUGAUUAAUAGGGACAGUCGGGGGCGUCAGUAUUGUGUUGUCAGAGGUGAAAUUCUUGGAUUUACACAAGACUAACUACUGCGAAGGCAUUCGCCAAGGAUGUAUUCAUUAAUCAAGAACGAAAGUUAGGGGAUCAAAGAUGAUCAGAUACCGUCGUAGUCUUAACCGUAAACUAUGCCGACUGAGAAUGGGUACCGCUUAUACGGUAUCCGCGUCUACGAGAAAUCAAAGUGAUCAGGUUCUGGGGGGAGUAUGGUCGCAAGGCUGAAACUUAAAGGAAUUGACGGAAGGGCACCACCAGGAGUGNGCUGCGGCUUAAUUUGACUCAACACGGGGAAACUCACCAGGUCCAGACACAAUAAGGAUUGACAGAUUGAUAGCUCUUUCUUGAUUUUGUGGGUUUGG
rnacentral:rRNA from 1 species